GACGAACGCUGGCGGCGUGCUUAACACAUGCAAGUCGAACGGAAAGGCCCUGCUUUUGUGGGGUGCUCGAGUGGCGAACGGGUGAGUAACACGUGAGUAACUUGCCCUUGACUUUGGGAUAACUUCAGGAAACUGGGGCUAAUACCGGAUAGGAGCUCCUGCUGCAUGGUGGGGGUUGGAAAGUUUCGGCGGUUGGGGAUGGACUCGCGGCUUAUCAGCUUGUUGGUGGGGUAGUGGCUUACCAAGGCUUUGACGGGUAGCCGGCCUGAGAGGGUGACCGGCCACAUUGGGACUGAGAUACGGCCCAGACUCCUACGGGAGGCAGCAGUGGGGAAUAUUGCACAAUGGGCGGGAGCCUGAUGCAGCAACGCCGCGUGCGGGAUGACGGCCUUCGGGUUGUAAACCGCUUUCGCCUGUGACGAAGCGUGAGUGACGGUAAUGGGUAAAGAAGCACCGGCUAACUACGUG
rnacentral:rRNA from 1 species